UACGAAGGGUGCAAGCGUUACUCGGAAUUACUGGGCGUAAAGCGUGCGUAGGUGGUUCGUUAAGUCUGAUGUGAAAGCCCUGGGCUCAACCUGGGAAUGGCAUUGGAUACUGGCGACCUAGAGUGCGGUAGAGGGGUGUGGAAUUCCCGGUGUAGCAGUGAAAUGCGUAGAUAUCGGGAGGAACAUCUGUGGCGAAGGCGACACCCUGGACCAGCACUGACACUGAGGCACGAAAGCGUGAGGAGCAAACAGG
rnacentral:rRNA from 1 species